GCCCCCCUAUGGUCACCGGCCGACUCGUCCACCAUGGUCCGAGUCAGAGCAGUGGCACGGUGGCCGUCUCCACCUGCCUAGCGCCGCCCAAGUCGCCGCCCCGCCCCCGCCACUCCGCCAGGCCACCCAUGGCAGCGCGGCUAGUCCCUCGUCGGCUCGCUCGCCCCUGCUUGCUCGUCCCACGGUCCCAGCUUCCCUCCCAGGUAGCAGCAGCGUGCGGUGCUCUAGCGUCGGGUGCACAAUUGAGGACUUAGGUGAAGCUUGUUUCAUUGUCUGCUUGUGUAAGGAUUCAACUGGAUCUGGCAUCUAGGGAUUCUGGACUGGUUGCGACAAAGAUAUUUAAUCCGAUUUAUUUGUCAAUGUGUAGAUCUAUUUUGGUUCCUAUUCCAAACAUCAGUAUACAUAGAUGGAAAUAAAAACAAGUGAAAGAAGACUGCCCAAAAAAGUAUCUCUCUUUAUUAUGCGCAACUAGGGUAUUUUGGCUGUUUUUGGAGCUUGUUUGUGGCCAAUACAUGAAGCUUUGGGCUACAAUGUUUAUAGAGUAAGUGAAGCCCAUAUGAUGUUGAACAAGUAUCCUUAAGUAAGUUUGGCUUGGUCCUGUAUAAAAAGUG
rnacentral:misc_RNA from 1 species